AGGAAUAUUGGUCAAUGGACGCGAGUCUGAACCAGCCAAGUAGCGUGAAGGAUGACUGCCCUAUGGGUUGUAAGCUUCUUUUAUAUGGGAAUAAAGUGGUCCACGUGUGGAUUUUUGUAUGUACCAUAUGAAUAAGGAUCGGCUAACUCCGUGCCAGCAGCCGCGGUAAUACGGAGGAUCCGAGCGUUAUCCGGAUUUAUUGGGUUUAAAGGGAGCGUAGGCGGAUUGUUAAGUCAGUUGUGAAAGUUUGCGGCUCAACCGUAAAAUUGCAGUUGAUACUGGCAGUCUUGAGUGCAGUAGAGGUGGGCGGAAUUCGUGGUGUAGCGGUGAAAUGCUUAGAUAUCACGAAGAACUCCGAUUGCGAAGGCAGCUCACUGGAGUGUAACUGACGCUGAUGCUCGAAAGUGUGGGUAUCAAACAGGAUUAGAUACCCUGGUAGUCCACACAGUAAACGAUGAAUACUCGCUGUUUGCGAUAUACAGUAAGCGGCCAAGCGAAAGCAUUAAGUAUUCCACCUGGGGAGUACGCCGGCAACGGUGAAACUCAAAGGAAUUGACGGGGGCCCGCACAAGCGGAGGAACAUGUGGUUUAAUUCGAUGAUACGCGAGGAACCUUACCCGGGCUUAAAUUGCAAAUGAAUUAUGGGGAAACCCAUACGCCGCAAGGCAUUUGUGAAGGUGCUGCAUGGUUGUCGUCAGCUCGUGCCGUGAGGUGUCGGCUUAAGUGCCAUAACGAGCGCAACCCUUAUCUUCAGUUACUAACAGGUCAUGCUGAGGACUCUGGAGAGACUGCCGUCGUAAGAUGUGAGGAAGGUGGGGAUGACGUCAAAUCAGCACGGCCCUUACGUCCGGGGCUACACACGUGUUACAAUGGGGGGUACAGAAGGCCGCUACCUGGUGACAGGAUGCCAAUCCCAAAAACCUCUCUCAGUUCGGAUCGAAGUCUGCAACCCGACUUCGUGAAGCUGGAUUCGCUAGUAAUCGCGCAUCAGCCAUGGCGCGGUGAAUACGUUCCCG
rnacentral:rRNA from 1 species